rnacentral:rRNA from 1 species
UACGUAGGUGGCAAGCGUUGUCCGGAUUUACUGGGCGUAAAGAGCGCGCAGGCGGUCAGAUAAGUCGAAUGUGAAAGCCCCCGGCUCAACUGGGGAGGGUCAUUCGAUACUGUUCGACUCGAAGGCAGGAGAGGGAAGCGGAAUUCCCGGUGCAGUGGUGAAAUGCGUAGAUAUCGGGAGGAACACCAGUGGCGAAGGCGGCUUCCUGGCCUGUUCUUGACGCUGAGGCGCGAAAGCUAGGGGAGCAAACGGG